CCUACGGGAGGCAGCAGUGGGGAAUAUUGGGCAAUGGACGAAAGUCUGACCCAGCGACGCCGCGUGAGGGAUGAAGGCCUUCGGGUUGUAAACCUCUUUCAGUAGGGAAGAAGCGAAAGUGACGGUACCUAAAGAAGAAGCACCGGCUAACUAUGUGCCAGCAGCCGCGGUAAUACAUAGGGUGCAAGCGUUGUCCGGAAUUAUUGGGCGUAAAGAGCUCGUAGGUGGUUUGUUGCGUCGGGUGUGGAAUUCAGGGGCUCAACCCCGUGACCUGCACUCGAUACGGGCAAGCUAGAGUUUGGUAGGGAGACUGGAAUUCCUGGUGUAGCGGUGGAAUGCGCAGAUAUCAGGAGGAACACCAAUGGCGAAGGCAGGUCUCUGGGCCAAUACUGACACUGAGGAGCGAAAGCGCGGGGAGCGAACAGGAUUAGAUACCCUGGUAGUCCGCGCCGUAAACGAUGGCGCUAGUUGUGGGUACCCUUCCGACGGUUUCUGCGACGCAGCUACGCAUAACGUACGCCCGCCGUCGGGUAGGUACGAGUCGCGACGAAGUUAAAACUUAAACUUAGUAAGUUAGUACGGCGUGAGACGUGCCGACGGACGACCGACGAGGGAGUAGG
rnacentral:rRNA from 1 species